GCCUCCUACCAGGGGACUACCCGUAGAAAUUUCGGACUUAAUACCCCAUAAUACAGGGAUGGCCGCAUGGCAAUAUUUGUUCAAAGAUUAAUCGGUAGAAGAUGGGCAUGCGUCCCAUUAGCUAGUUGGUGAGGUAACAGCUCACCAAGGGCCAUGAUGGAUAGGGGAACUGAGAGGUUUAUCCCCCACACUGGAACUGAGACACGGACCAGACUCCUACGGGAGGCAGCAGUGAGGAAUAUUGGUCAAUGGGCGAGAGCCUGAACCAGCCAAGUCGCGUGAAGGAAGACUGCCUUAUGGGUUGUAAACUUCUUUUGCAGGAGAGUAAAAAGCGGGACGCGUCCCGUCUUGCAAGUACCCUGCGAAUAAGCAUCGGCUAACUCCGUGCCAGCAGCCGCGGUAAUACGGAGGAUGCGAGCGUUAUCCGGAUUUAUUGGGUUUAAAGGGUGCGUAGGCGGAUCCUUAAGUCAGUGGUGAAAUCUGUCGGCUCAACCGACAAACUGCCAUUGAAACUGAAGAUCUUGAGUAUAGAUGAAGUAGGCGGAACUCGUUGUGUAGCGGUGAAAUGCAUAGAUAUAACGAAGAACCCCGAUCGCGUAGGCAGCUUACUAAACUAUAACUGACGCUGAGGCACGAAAGCGUGGGUAUCAAACAGGAUUAGAUACCCUGGUAGUCCACGCCGUAAACUAUGAUUACUAGUUGUAUGCGAUACACCGUAUGUGACUUGCGAAAGCGAUAAGUAAUCCACCUGGGGA
rnacentral:rRNA from 1 species